UUUGAAUUUGACCAUCUUGUGCAUUUAUGAAGAAGACCAAAAGCUGCAAAGGCAAACACUUGCAAUGGAUUUCUCACAGAUUACUUAAUCAUUCUUCAUCAGCUCUUCACAAUAUCAGCCCAUUCAAAAGCUUCCAGAUCUUCCUCUCUUGUGUGACACAUCUGCUCUCAGUCCUUUACUGCCAACCUCCAGUCUUAGCAUUUCUGCUUGUAUUCAUUUUUCCUCUACAUUCAUCACUCCAAUCUCUACUAUAAGCACUCCUGUAUAUAUAUAUAUAUACACACAUAAUAAUUAUUAUUAUUAUUAACCAUUUAUUUGUUUUGCAUUUAUUCACAAUAGAAGCAAACAAUGAUUACAGGAUAUAUGUUUUUAAAGGUGAUAAUUGUAAAAUAUUGGAGCAUUGUUCUUAAUCAUUUUGCCUAUUUGGUUGAUAAAGGGAAGAAAACAAUAUAUUUUCAACUGUAGCCUUGAUUAUUCUUUGGCAUCUUUUGUCAGGAUUUCUGUAAACAAAUUCCCUUUUUAUUUUUGAAUAUUAAACUUAUGUUUUUUGAAGGGAGUUUCUGUUGCAAUUUUGUUUGUUUGUUUUCACUUAGUUACCUCUAUGCAUUUUUUUUUUAUCAACCUUUCCUUUUUUUUCAUAGUGGAAUAAACUGGAGAGAGACUGUUCUGGGCACUAUGUUUAUCUGCGAAAAGUUUGACAUAUCAAUAAACACUGUAAAAUGA